UACGUAGGUGGCAAGCGUUGUCCGGAUUUACUGGGCGUAAAGGGCGCGUAGGCGGGAUGGCAAGUCGGUCGUGAAAUCCCUCGGCUCAACCGAGGAACGCCGAUCGAUACUGCUGUUCUUGAGGAUUGCAGAGGAGACUGGAAUUCCCGGUGUAGCGGUGAAAUGUGUAGAGAUCGGGAGGAACACCGGUGGCGAAGGCGGGUCUCUGGGCAAUUCCUGACGCUGAGGCGCGAAAGCUGGGGGAGCGAUCGGG
rnacentral:rRNA from 1 species